CCCUUAGAUGUCCUGGGCCGCACGCGCGCUACACUGAUGCAUGCAACGAGUUUAUAACCUUGGCCUGAAAGGUCUGGGUAAUCUUUUGAACGUGCAUCGUGAUAGGGAUAGAUUAUUGCAAUUGUUAAUCUUGAACGAGGAAUUCCUAGUAAACGCGAGUCAUCAGCUCGCAUUGAUUACGUCCCUGCCCUUUGUACACACCGCCCGUCGCACCUACCGAUUGAAUGGUUCGGUGAAGAUCUCGGACUUCGAUAUUUAUUCCUUAUUGAGUUUAUAUUGUGGGAAGUUAUCUAAACCUCAUCAUUUAGAGGAAGGUGAAGUCGUAACA
rnacentral:rRNA from 1 species